GGCUUAUGCUUAUAAUCCCAGCACUUUGGGAGGCUGAGAUGGGCAGAUUGCUUGAUCCCAGGAGUUUGAGACCAGCCUGGGCAACACAGCAAGACCCCAUCUCAAAAAAAAAAAAAAAAAAAAGCCACAAUUGACCGGGAAAUUUUGGUUACUUCUGUGGCAUACAACAAUUUUAUGUAAUAAUAUAACUAUUAAUAACAGACACUAAGUCAUAUAAGAAUUAUAGGAGUGUCAAAUAAUUUUGGAACACAUACCAGUAACAUAUACAAAUACAACCCAAAGAAAGUCAAAUACCAUUUCAUAUUUGACAAUGCUCCCUGUGUGAUUUUUAUACCAAAUAAGCCAAAUAUGUCUCUUUUGGACUUUAAGGGACCUAAUAUCCAAAAGAGUAAUUAGGUCAGAAGAAGACAUAAUUUAGAAAAUGAUUUUGGAAAGUUUAUUAAAUGUCAAAGAUUUAAACACUUGAUAUUGUAAAAUAGAAUCCUAGGUUACCAUAAGUCAUUCAUUUAGUCAAAAUGAUAACUCAAAAAAUUUUUUAAAGGCAGAAAACUUUGCUCAUUGAUAGAGGGAAGACUUAGCUUUCCAAACAAUCUGUCUCUUGUCUUUUCCUUCUUUUUCCUGUAGCUUAUUCAAAAGCCAAACAAAACUCAAACAUUUCUUUCUUUUUUUUUUUUGAGAUGGAGUCUCGCCCUGUUGCCCAGGCUGGAGUGCAGUGGUGCAAUCUUGGCUCACUGCAACCUCUGUCUGCCUCCCAGGCUCAAGUGAUUCUCUUACCUCAGCCUUGAGAUUACAGGCACAUGCCACUACAACCAGCUAAUUUUUGUAUUUUUAGUAGAGAUAGGGUUUCACCAUGUUGGCCAGGCUGGUCUCAAACUCCUGACCUCCCAUGAUACACCUGCCUCGGCCUCACAAAGUGCUGGGAUUACAGGCGUGAGCCACAGCACCAGCCUCAUUAAAUUUUUUUUUUAAUAUUACAUGAAAAUCUUAUUCAAGAAAGAAAACCAAAUUUCACCCUUGCAUUAGUAUACUACUGAUAUCAAACCCAGCUCUUAAUGAAAAUUUAUGGACAAAUUUAUCCAAUUUUAAUGUCUGACCAUAAGGUAAGAGUCUCAUAAACCUUUCAUAACCCUUUACAAUUUUUGUAAAAGAGCUUAUUAGUGCUCUAAGAAAACCAUAUUGUGCUUUUAUUCCAGUGUUCAAUUUACAGAAAAACUGAGUAAUACCCCUUUAACUUUAGCCAACAUGUUCACACACAGAAUUUCUUUUAUAAGAUUAUUUUUUCACAAACCUUCCACAACUUGCUCAAACCUUCAGCUUUAUCCUAAUAUAACAUAAAACAAUCCUUUAACCCUUUAGGUGAAAAAUCC
rnacentral:lncRNA from 1 species